rnacentral:rRNA from 1 species
AAAACGACUCUCGGCAACGGAUAUCUAGGCUCUCGCAUCGAUGAAGAACGUAGCGAAAUGCGAUACUUGGUGUGAAUUGCAGAAUCCCGCGAAUCAUCGAGUUUUUGAACGCAAGUUGCGCCCGAAGCCAUUCGGCSGAGGGCACGUCUGCCUGGGUGUCACGC